rnacentral:rRNA from 1 species
ACGAACGCUGGCGGCAUGCCUAACACAUGCAAGUUGAACGAGAAAGGCUUUCGGGCCGAGUAGAGUGGCGCACGGGUGAGUAACGCGUAGAUAAUCUGCCCCUGAGUCUGGAAUAACCCUUCGAAAGGAGGGCUAAUGCCGGAUAACAAGCGACCUCGUUGGAGGUCGCUUUGAAAGUUCAGGCGCUCGGGGAUGAGUCUGCGUCCCAUUAGCUUGUUGGUGGGGUAAUGGCCUACCAAGGCGAUGAUGGGUAGCGGGUUUGAGAGGAUGAUCCGCCACACUGGCACUGAGAUACGGGCCAGACUCCUACGGGAGGCAGCAGUGGGGAAUAUUGCGCAAUGGGCGAAAGCCUGACGCAGCAAUGCCGCGUGAGCGAAGAAGGUUUUCGGAUCGUAAAGCUCUUUAUCUCUGCGAAGAUGAUGACGGUAGCAGAGGAAUAAGCACCGGCUAACUACGU